AUUGACUUCGGUCCAGGGAAGAGACCUGGCUCACUGCCUUCUUUCCUCAUCCAUAGGCUGGCUCCAAGACCUAUGUGAAAUAAUGGCCACAGUGAUAUUCACUGUACAGAGAAUUCUCCAGGGUGGAGAACUGCAUCUCUAUGUCACCAUCAACUCCUUCCCGAGGCCAGCAUUGAUCUAUAUCUGCAUCAGAACCAGACCUGGGUUCAUAGGUCAAAACUACCUCCACAACCGCAACCGCAUGGCAGGGCAGAAGAAGAAAGCAAGAGAAGUCCCAGGUCUGCUCCUACUGUGAGUAUCUAGUAGGCUCUCAUUCCUGCGGAGGGCCUAGUGCCUUGCAGCUUCUCCAUGGAUAUCAGCCAAAUGCAGAAUCUUAAUGGCUUUCCCUUUCGGUUCGACAAGCCCAGAGCUCUAGCCUGGGUGCGGGCUGUGUGUGAAGAAAUAGGAGUCUUGGUUUCGUUUUGUAACCUGGGCCCCUCCAGUGCCUACCAGCUGGGGCUGGGAACAGGACCAACAUUCAUUGACAAAUGAAGAGAUGAAAACAUUUUCGAAGCUGACAGGCCAUCAAUUGGGUGCCACCCGGGAAGAGAAGCCAUGGUCUGCAGCUCUGCUUCCUGGCCCCACCACCAGGAGAAUAUGGGACUGCCAGCCACACCCAAUGGGCCGCCCUAGGUUUGGGAGGUCUCUUUUUAUCCUGAGAGAAGGCUUGGGAGCAGUUACGAAAGCGACGAGCCUACCGGCUUGGACACGGAGCAGCGAUUGCUUGGCUUGUUGGGUAUGGCUGAGGCCUGUAUACAGUUGGAUGACCUAAGUUAUGGAAGGACAGAGUAGUCAUGUACACAGAAGGGCCCUCUUGAGUGGCAGCUAGGGCCACUGUAAUUUUGUCCCAUGGGGUAGCCUGGGUCAAGCUCUCACUGGAAACUGCCAGUCAGCCGAGGGACCCUGAGGAGACUCACAUUAUCUGUUUGCUGUUUAGGUCCAGCAGUGAAGGCCCCUACUGAUUUGGGGAACCAGCCUCCUGGCGCUUCCUAAAUGCCCUGUUUUGAGAAGUUCCACAGAGUGAGGGUGUAAGUGUCUGGCCUGAAGGGAGAGACAUGCUCCCCCUGGGUUCCAAUCCCCAUCAUACCUUAGCUGUCAGCAGGGAGGGGAGGUUCCAGAGGCUACAGGAGGCUGUAGCAGAGAAACAAAGGCUUACAUUACUACUCCAGGUUUGCUGUUCUCCCCGGAGGCAGAUGGCACUGUGUGUUGGGUGGGGAUCACUUCACCAGGCCUGCCUUUGCCCCAAGGGGCAGUUUCUUGGAUAGGAUAGGGAUAGUGUCAUUAAGCCCAUUUGAGGAAGCAAGCAACCAACCGUUACCAGCUUUGGACUUCACUGACCAUGUUCAGUUACUGUUGGACACUCUUUUCCUUCAGGCACAAAUGGGUAAUUUCUCAUGUUCCUGCCUCUGUGACUGGGGCCAAGCAGGCAUGUCUCCUUUGUUCAGUUCACUGCUCCCACCUCUGGAAUCGUCCCUGCUGUCCAGGUUCUCUGGCCAGGUGUCACAUGGCUUUACUCUGUCGGCAGUCCUCAUGAGAUCGAUGACUCCUGGCGAUCCACGUGUGAAUGACUUGUAGGAAGGGCGCCGGAGUGAGCUGAGGUUGACAGAGAGCCACCUGCAGAGGCUCCAGCAGCUAUGUGAGUGUAUGGCUGGACAGUGUCACUUGUGAGAUGCUCACAGUCCUGUGGUGUCAACUAGAUCAAAGUCUCUCAUAAGAUAGAAGAUGGAAUCUGCCCUUGGUCACAACGCUUGAUUCAGAACCCUGGCUUUUUAUAGGGCUACUCUUUCCUCCGGUGAUGAAGGUUAACAUCCUGGAACAUCCAUGGCACAGAUGCGGGCUAAGUCCUCUACCCUAGAAGAUCUACAGUGCAGCCCUGGGCAGGAUUCCUCCAAGGCUCACACAGUUUAAAUGUUUCAGACUGGGAUCAUUGCAAAAGGAAUUUUUCGCCUACAGAAGAGAGAGGCAAGGAAGGAAAGCUAUGCCCAAGGUCUAGAAACAGGGCAGUAGCCCUGAGUUUGGAAAGCCGCUCCCACCUGGUCCAACUCUCUCUUAGCUCAACCAGUUGUCCGUGUGAAGAUUAGGUUGCUGGUUUUGGCUUUUUUUUUUUUUUCCUUUUUUCUUUUUUGUCAACUUGAUACAAGCUAAGAAGAAAGGCAAUGGCCCCUGAGAACAUGACUCCGUCAGAUUGGCUUGUAGGCAAGUUCACAGGGGAGGGGGGGUCAGUUCCUUGAUUAAUGAUCUAUAUGGAAGGCGCCCGAACCAUUGUUGAGUGGUGCCACCCUGGGCAGAUGGCCCCGGACUGUCUAAGAAAGCAGGCUCAUCAAGCCACAACAAACUAGCCAGUGAGCCCCGUAAACAGAAUUCUUCUGCAGUUCUUGCUCCAGUUCCUGCCUCGAGUUCCUGCCUUGGCUUCCCUGACUGAUGGACUCUCAGCCAAAUAAACACUCUGCUAUGAUA
rnacentral:lncRNA from 1 species